CCUACGGGUGGCUGCAGUCGAGGAUCAUUCGCAAUGAGCGAAAGCUUGACGAUGCGACGCUGCGUGAACGAUGAAGGCCUUCGGGUUGUAAAGUUCUUUCGCGAAUGAACAAGAGAGGUGCAUGAACAAUGCGCUAAUUUGAGGGUAAUUCGUAAAGAAGCACCGGCUAACUCCGUGCCAGCAGCUGCGGUAAUACGGAGGGUGCAAGCGUUAAUCGGAUUUAUUGGGCGUAAAGGGCGCGUAGGCGGAUUUUUAAGUCUGGUGUGAAAUACCGUGGCUCAACCACGGUGCUGCAUCGGAAACUGGAGAUCUUGAGGGUAGGCGGAGAAAACGGAAUUCCAAGUGUAGCGGUGAAAUGCGUAGAUAUUUGGAAGAACACCUGUGGCGAAAGCGGUUUUCUAGCUUAUUCCUGACGCUGAGGCGCGAGAGCAAGGGGAGCAAACAGGAUUAGAUACCCUUGUAGUC
rnacentral:rRNA from 1 species